rnacentral:rRNA from 1 species
UAAGUAGUCACGUAGUUGACUCCGUGGCUACAGAACGACGCUGGCGGCAUGCCUAACACAUGCAAGUCGAACGAGACCUUCGGGUCUAGUGGCGCACGGGUGCGUAACACGUGGGAAUUUGCCUCGGGGUAUGGAAUAACUCAGGGAAACUUGAGCUAAUACCAUAUAAUGUCUUCGGACCAAAGAUUUAUCGCCCUGAGAUAAGCCCGCGUAGGAUUAGCUAGUUGGUGGGUAAAGGCUCACCAAGGCGACGAUCCUUAGCUGGUCUGAGAGGAUGAUCAGCCACACUGGGACUGAGACACGGCCCAGACUCCUACGGGAGGCAGCAGUGGGGGAAUAUUGGACAAUGGGCGAAAGCCUGAUCCAGCAAUGCCGCGUGAGUGAUGAAGGCCUUCGGGUUGUAAAGCUCUUUUACUCGGGACGAUAAUGACGGUACCGAGAGAAUAAGCCCCGGCUAACUCCGUG